UCAGGACGAACGCUGGCGGCGUGCUUAACACAUGCAAGUCGAACGAUGAACCACUUCGGUGGGGAUUAGUGGCGAACGGGUGAGUAACACGUGGGCAAUCUGCCCUUCACUCUGGGACAAGCCCUGGAAACGGGGUCUAAUACCGGAUANCACUCCNNCNGGCAUNNGUGGGGGUUGAAAGCUCCGGCGGUGAAGGAUGAGCCCGCGGCCUAUCAGCUUGUUGGUGAGGUAANGGCUCACCAAGGCGACGACGGGUAGCCGGCCUGAGAGGGCGACCGGCCACACUGGGACUGAGACACGGCCCAGACUCCUACGGGAGGCAGCAGUGGGGAAUAUUGCACAAUGGGCGCAAGCCUGAUGCAGCGACGCCGCGUGAGGGAUGACGGCCUUCGGGUUGUAAACCUCUUUCAGCAGGGAAGAAGCGCAAGUGACGGUACCUGCAGAAGAAGCGCCGGCUAACUACGUGCCAGCAGCCGCGGUAAUACGUAGGGCGCAAGCGUUGUCCGGAAUUAUUGGGCGUAAAGAGCUCGUAGGCGGCUUGUCACGUCGGGUGUGAAAGCCCGGGGCUUAACCCCGGGUCUGCAUUCGAUACGGGCUNGCUNGAGUGUGGUAGGGGAGAUCGGAAUUCCUGGUGUAGCGGUGAAAUGCGCAGAUAUCAGGAGGAACACCGGUGGCGAAGGCGGAUCUCUGGGCCAUUACUGAC
rnacentral:rRNA from 1 species